GAUGAACGCUGGCGGCGUGCCUAAUACAUGCAAGUCGAGCGAACGGACGAGAAGCUUGCUUCUCUGAUGUUAGCGGCGGACGGGUGAGUAACACGUGGACAACCUACCUAUAAGACUGGGAUAACUUCGGGAAACCGGAGCUAAUACCGGAUAAUAUUUUGAACCGCAUGGUUCAAAAGUGAAAGACGGUCUCGCUGUCACUUAUAGAUGGAUCCGCGCUGCAUUAGCUAGUUGGUAAGGUAACGGCUUACCAAGGCAACGAUGCAUAGCCGACCUGAGAGGGUGAUCGGCCACACUGGAACUGAGACACGGUCCAGACUCCUACGGGAGGCAGCAGUAGGGAAUCUUCCGCAAUGGGCGAAAGCCUGACGGAGCAACGCCGCGUGAGUGAUGAAGGUCUUCGGAUCGUAAAACUCUGUUAUUAGGGAAGAACAUAUGUGUAAGUAACUGUGCACAUCUUGACGGUACCUAAUCAGAAAGCCACGGCUAACUACGUG
rnacentral:rRNA from 1 species